GUGCUUCGGCAGCAUAGAUACUAAAAUUGGAAGAAUACAGAGAAAAUUAGCAUGGCCCCUGUGCAAGGAUGACAUGCAAAUUUGUGAAGAGUUCCAUAUUCCAUAUUUUU
ensembl:snRNA U6 spliceosomal RNA